GACGAACGCUGGCGGCGUGCUUAACACAUGCAAGUCGAGCGAUGAAGUUCCUUCGGGAAUGGAUUAGCGGCGGACGGGUGAGUAACACGUGGGUAACCUGCCUCAUAGAGGGGAAUAGCCUUCCGAAAGGAAGAUUAAUACCGCAUAAGAUUGUAGUACCGCAUGGUAUAGCAAUUAAAGGAGUAAUCCGCUAUGAGAUGGACCCGCGUCGCAUUAGCUAGUUGGUGAGGUAACGGCUCACCAAGGCGACGAUGCGUAGCCGACCUGAGAGGGUGAUCGGCCACAUUGGGACUGAGACACGGCCCAGACUCCUACGGGAGGCAGCAGUGGGGAAUAUUGCACAAGGGGGGAAACCCUGAUGCAGCAACGCCGCGUGAGUGAUGACGGUCUUCGGACUGUAAAACUCUGUCUUCAGGGACGAUAACGACGGUACCUGAGGAGGAAGCCACGGCUAACUACGUGCCAGCCGCCGCCGUAAAAC
rnacentral:rRNA from 1 species